AUUGAACGCUGGCGGCAGGCCUAACACAUGCAAGUCGAACGGUAACAGGAAGAAGCUUGCUUCUUUGCUGACGAGUGGCGGACGGGUGAGUAAUGUCUGGGAAACUGCCUGAUGGAGGGGGAUAACUACUGGAAACGGUAGCUAAUACCGCAUAACGUCGCAAGACCAAAGAGGGGGACCUUCGGGCCUCUUGCCAUCGGAUGUGCCCAGAUGGGAUUAGCUAGUAGGUGGGGUAACGGCUCACCUAGGCGACGAUCCCUAGCCGGUCUGAGAGGAUGACCAGCCACACUGGAACUGAGACACGGACCAGGCUCCUACGGGAGGCAGCAGUGGGGAAUAUUGCACAAUGGGCGCAAGCCUGAUGCAGCCGUGCCGCGUGUAUGAAGAAGGCCUUCGGGUUGUAAAGUACUUUCAGCGGGGAGGAAGGGAGUAAAGUUAAUACCUUUGCUCAUUGACGUUACCCGCAGAAGAAGCACCGGCUAACUCCGUG
rnacentral:rRNA from 1 species